rnacentral:tRNA from 1 species
UUAGAAUGGCAGAUAAAUGCCUAGACUUUAAGCGUCUAUUAUGGUUAUUAAACCUUCUAUCCC